AAAAUACUAAAAUAGUAAUUAAAUAUUUAUUGAAACUUAAAUAAUUUGGCGGUAUUUUAGUUCAUUUAGAGGAAUCUGUUUAAUAAUUGAUAAUCCACGAAUAAAUUUACUUAUUUUAUAAUUUUGUAUAUCGUUGUUAUAAAAAUAUUUUUUAAUAAAAUUAAUGUUUAAAAAUUAAUAUGAAAAAUUAAAUCAGAUCAAGAUGCAGAUUAUAAUUAAGAAUAUAAUGGAUUACAAUAAUUUUAUUUAAAUGAAUUUUAUUUUGUAAUAUUUAAUUGAAGGUGGAUUUAAAUGUAAUUUUAUUUAAUUUAAUAAAAUGAUUAAAAAUUAAAAUAUGU
rnacentral:rRNA from 1 species